rnacentral:lncRNA from 1 species
GCUUCUUCACCUCGCGCUGUUCUCAGCCCCUAGUUUUGUGGUGAUGAAGCCAGCUCUCCUACGAGCAUUAGUGUAGAGGAGAGCCAGACAAGGUAGCCCAGAGCACCUCCUUCCGCCCGCCCAGUGGCUGCCACGCCCUCCUCUCCCGCCGCAGGUCUGGCCGGCAGCGAGGAGGCGGCUCUGCUGUCGCUGUUCGACCUCGUCCCCCGCGCCGAUCGACGCUCCUCCGCCUCCAUGCUCGACCGACUCUUCACCACACUCGACCUCAAUGAAGACGGGCUGAUCGACUCGCGGGAGUUCGAGACGGUGCUGAGGCUGGUCGGCACCAUGAACCGCCAUCCCUCCUUCGUGUGAGCCUUCUGCGGCGCCUCCUCCAGCUGAGGCUGAGGCUGGUCGGCACCAUGAACCGCCAUCCCUCCUUCGUGUGAGCCUUCUGCGGCGCCUCCUCCAGCUGAGGCUGAGGCUGGUCGCCACCAUGACCCGCCUUCCCUCCUUCGUGUGAGCCUUCUGCGGCGCCUCCUGCAGCUCCCUUCAACCCCGUCGGCCCAAUUAACUCCUUCGAGCUGAUGACGUCAGACUGACUCUCCCGUUGAAGAACGAAACACCGCCAUGAUGAACGAUGAAUGAACAGCCCUUGGUCUGCCCUGAAUGUUCUUCAGGUGCAGCUUUCGCUCUUAUUAAUCUAAUCAUCUUUAAUAAACUUGAUCGCUUUUAGA